rnacentral:tRNA from 1 species
GCGAAGGUAGGCGGAAUUGGUAGUGCGCUAGCUUCAGGUGUUAGUGUCCUUACGGACGUGGGGUUCGAAGAUACCCCCCCUCGCACCA